rnacentral:rRNA from 1 species
CCGUCUUGAAACACGGACCAAGGAGUCUAACAUGUGCGCGAGUCACUCGGUCUUGUUUAGGCCAGAGAGGCGCAAUGAAGGUAAACAUUAUUUUUAAGGUUACGAUCCUUACAAUUCAGUUACCCUACUGGGCGACUGUUGUUUGGCGCAGUAACGGCCUGCCAAUUUCGCUUAUUGACGAUCUGGCAGAGUUGUAGCGUACACGUUGGUACCCGAAAGAUGGUGAACUAUGCCUGGGCAAGACGAAGCCAGAGGAAACUCUGGUGGAGGUCUGUAGCGAUUCUGACGUGCAAAUCGAUCGUCCGACCUGGGUAUAGGGGCGAAAGACUAAUCGAACCAUCUAGUAGCUGGUUCCUUCC